rnacentral:rRNA from 1 species
CCUACGGGAGGCAGCAGUGGGGGAUAUUGCACAAUGGGGGGAACCCUGAUGCAGCGACGCCGCGUGGGUGAAGAAGCGCCUCGGCGCGUAAAGCCCUGUCAGCAGGGAAGAAAAUGACGGUACCUGAAGAAGAAGCCCCGGCUAACUACGUGCCAGCAGCCGCGGUAAUACGUAGGGGGCAAGCGUUAUCCGGAUUUACUGGGUGUAAAGGGGGCGCAGACGGCGAUGCAAGCCAGGAGUGAAAGCCGGGGGCCCAACCCCGGGACUGCUCUUGGAACUGCGUGGCUGGAGUGCAGGAGGGGCAGGCGGAAUUCCUGGUGUAGCGGUGAAAUGCGUAGAUAUCAGGAGGAACACCGGUGGCGAAGGCGGCCUGCUGGACUGCAACUGACGUUGAGGCCCGAAAGCGUGGGGAGCAAACAGGAUUAGAUACCCGUGUAGUC